GGCAUGGCAGCAGCUACCAUGCAGUCGAGCGGUAGCACAGAGAGCUUGCUCUCGGGUGACGAGCGGCGGACGGGUGAGUAAUGUCUGGGAAACUGCCUGAUGGAGGGGGAUAACUACUGGAAACGGUAGCUAAUACCGCAUAACGUCGCAAGACCAAAGAGGGGGACCUUCGGGCCUCUUGCCAUCAGAUGUGCCCAGAUGGGAUUAGCUAGUAGGUGGGGUAACGGCUCACCUAGGCGACGAUCCCUAGCUGGUCUGAGAGGAUGACCAGCCACACUGGAACUGAGACACGGUCCAGACUCCUACGGGAGGCAGCAGUGGGGAAUAUUGCACAAUGGGCGCAAGCCUGAUGCAGCCAUGCCGCGUGUAUGAAGAAGGCCUUCGGGUUGUAAAGUACUUUCAGCGGGGAGGAAGGUGUUGAGGUUAAUAACCUCAGCAAUUGACGUUACCCGCAGAAGAAGCACCGGCUAACUCCGUGCCAGCAGCCGCGGUAAUACGGAGGGUGCAAGCGUUAAUCGGAAUUACUGGGCGUAAAGCGCACGCAGGCGGUCUGUCAAGUCGGAUGUGAAAUCCCCGGGCUCAACCUGGGAACUGCAUUCGAAACUGGCAGGCUAGAGUCUUGUAGAGGGGGGUAGAAUUCCAGGUGUAGCGGUGAAAUGCGUAGAGAUCUGGAGGAAUACCGGUGGCGAAGGCGGCCCCCUGGACAAAGACUGACGCUCAGGUGCGAAAGCGUGGGGAGCAAACAGGAUUAGAUACCCUGGUAGUCCACGCCGUAACGAUGUCGAUUUGGAGGUUGUUCCCUUGAGGAGUGGCUUCCGGAGCUAACGCGUUAAAUCGACCGCCUGGGGAGUACGGCCGCAAGGUUAAAACUCAAAUGAAUUGACGGGGGCCCGCACAAGCGGUGGAGCAUGUGGUUUAAUUCGAUGCAACGCGAAGAACCUUACCUACUCUUGACAUCCAGAGAACUUAGCAGAGAUGCUUUGGUGCCUUCGGGAACUCUGAGACAGUGCUGCAUGGCUGUCGUCAGCUCGUGUUGUGAAAUGUUGGGUUAAGUCCCGCACGAGCGCAACCCUUAUCCUUUGUUGCCAGCGGUCCGGCCGGGAACUCAAAGGAAACUGCCA
rnacentral:rRNA from 1 species